CACAGGACAGGGUGGAGAGGAGCCUGGAGAUCAAGAUGAAGGGAGAAGGCCGGACGAUGAGAGGGGAGUGAACCCUGGGCGUAAUGGUUCCACACCAAGAGAAGUUCUGAAGGUCAAGGUCCAGAAGCCAAGAUUCAGCUGGGCAGGCUGCAUCUCUACAAGGCAGCCUCAGAUGUUCAUUGUCAAAUGGAUGAACUGGGAAGAGAGAGAGAGAGAUGAGGGGUCGUUGUCCUUCCAUGUCCCUUCCAGCCUCAGCCUCAGGAGUGGCCCCAGUUUGCUGAUAUCACAGGAGAUCUGCUAUUUGAUCAUUUUGCCUGCCAACUUGGAUGUCUGUCUCAGCAGGAAACCAUUUAAAGAAAAUAAAUGAAUUCUCAGCACUUGACAUUUUCUGGAGGACCUGAGUCCUUUCCAAGUGAGCUCAUAUCAAGCACAGUUGGUAAGACAGAGACGGGAAAAUGUGCUUUCUCCCUGUUAAGAGGACAGCCUCGCUGAAGCAUCUUGGGCAGGGCAGUAUUAAGUGACUUUUCCUUGUUGAUGAGGGGUCCUCUCACCUUUGGGAGAGAGGUGGCCCUCCACCCUGGAGGGGCUGCAGGAAGUGGAAGCAGGUUCCAUAGCUGGGGGGUGUUACAAGUGAGCUGAAGGAGAAGUAGCAUGGAAUUCCUCCUCAUUUUCUCUCCCGAGUCCACCCUGCCUCCUCCUUCCCAACAGCUUGUUUAUUACAGCAUGGUGACUUGGGGCAACGUG
rnacentral:lncRNA from 1 species